UAGAGUUUGAUCAUGGCUCCAGGACGAACGCUGGCGGCGUGCCUAAUACAUACAAGUCGAGCGGAUCGAUGGGAGCUUGCUCCCUGAGAUCAGCGGCGGACGGGUGAGUAACACGUGGGUAACCUGCCUGUAAGACUGGGAUAACUCCGGGAAACCGGGGCUAAUACCGGAUAACACCUACCCCCGCAUGGGGGAAGGUUGAAAGGUGGCUUCGGCUAUCACUUACAGAUGGACCCGCGGCGCAUUAGCUAGUUGGUGAGGUAACGGCUCACCAAGGCGACGUCAGUAGCCGACCUGAGAGGGUGAUCGGCCCACCCUGGAUAUUGAGACACGGCCCAGACUCCUCCGGGAGGCAGCAGUAGGGAAUCUUCCGCAAUGGACGAAAGUCCGGACGGAGCAAACACCGCGUGAGUGAAGAAGGUUUUCGGAUCGUAAAACUCUGUUGUUAGGGAAGAACAAGUACCGUUCGAAUAGGGCGGUACCUUGACGGUACCUAACCAGAAAGCCACGGCUAACUACGUGCCAGCAGCCGCGGUAAUACGUAGGUGGCAAGCGUUGUCCGGAAUUAUUGGGCGUAAAGCGCGCGCAGGUGGUUUCUUAAGUCUGAUGAAAGCCCCCGGUUCAACCGUGGAAGGUCAUUGGAAACUGGGAACUUGAGGGGCAGAAGAGGAAAGUGGAAUUCCAAGUGUAGCGGUGAAAUGCGUAGAUAUUUGGAGGAACACCAGUGGCGAAGGCGACUUUUUGGUCUGUAACUGACACUGAGGCGCGAAAGCGUGGGGAGCAAACAGGAUUAGAUACCCUGGUAGUCCACGCCGUAAACGAUGAGUGCUAAGUGUUAGAGGGUUUCCGCCCUUUAGUGCUGCAGCUAACGCAUUAAGCACUCCGCCUGGGGAGUACGGUCGCAAGACUGAAACUCAAAGGAAUUGACGGGGGCCCGCACAAGCGGUGGAGCAUGUGGUUUAAUUCGAAGCAACGCGAAGAACCUUACCAGGUCUUGACAUCCUCUGACAACCCUAGAGAUAGGGCUUUCCCCUUCGGGGGACAGAGUGACAGGUGGUGCAUGGUUGUCGUCAGCUCGUGUCGUGAGAUGUUGGGUUAAGUCCCGCAACGAGCGCAACCCUUGAUCUUAGUUGCCAGCAUUCAGUUGGGCACUCUAAGAUGACUGCCGGUGACAAACCGGAGGAAGGUGGGGAUGACGUCAAAUCAUCAUGCCCCUUAUGACCUGGGCUACACACGUGCUACAAUGGACGGUACAAAGGGCUGCAAGACCGCGAGGUUUAGCCAAUCCCAUAAAACCGUUCUCAGUUCGGAUUGUAGGCUGCAACUCGCCUACAUGAAGCUGGAAUCGCUAGUAAUCGCGGAUCAGCAUGCCGCGGUGAAUACGUUCCCGGGCCUUGUACACACCGCCCGUCACACCACGAGAGUUUGUAACACCCGAAGUGGGUGAG
rnacentral:rRNA from 1 species